rnacentral:tRNA from 1 species
AGUUUUAUAGUCAAUAUAUGAUAUUAGACUGCAAUUCUAAAGUAGUAUAAAUAAAUAUACUAAAGCUU